CACCCCACACUCCCUUCAGAUAAAAGGAAAAAUGCCUAACCCUUCUUCUUUUUUGACCCCACCAUCCCCCCUGAUAAUUUCCAUGAGGUCUUCUACAAGUCAGUUAAACACGUAACAUAUCUGAGCAGUUUCAGACACUGCUGCAUCACUCGAUCAAAGUGUCACUGGUGAUUAGCAUCAGCCAGUUUGUUAAUGUUCUGGCUCCAGGGCCUAAUGAGUUAAUCAGCUGGCAGGAUUUCCCAAGGGCUGGACUUUUCUUUAUGGCUUUGAACCGCUUUUACCCCUCAUGGUGUCUUCCUUCUCCUCCUCAAAGCCCUGCAGCUCCUGCCAAGGUUUCAAGUGACAGCUAUUCUGUCGCUCUCUUCCUUCCUUGUUCCACUUGUUGGGGGGAGGAUGAAGUGACUGGCAGAGGAAGUGUGUGUGUGUGUGUGUUUGAGGAGGGGGGGUUGUUGAGGUGAUAAAAAGGGAUGAAGGAGGAAGAGCAGGCAGAUCCACAGACAAGGAGGGAGGAAGACGCUUUCAGAGGAAUCACUAUAAACAGACACAGACAUGCCUGAGCCCCAGAAGCCAGCAGCCAAGGGCGAUAAGGCUGCAGCAGCCCCUGCUGACAAGAAGGGUAAGCAAAGCACAAUGCAUUCAGUGUUUUGUUUGUCUGUGUGCCCCGUAGACAUAACUGUCUAUAGAUCAUCCUCAUCAUCAUCCGCACCAUCAUCUUCAUCACUGUCAUCGUCAUCUUCAUCCACAAAAUAA
rnacentral:lncRNA from 15 species